rnacentral:rRNA from 1 species
GAUGAACGCUGGCGGCGUGCCUAAUACAUGCAAGUCGAGCGAAGCGGGGACGGGUGAGUAACACGUGGAUAACCUCCUAUAAGACUGGGAUAAAUUCGGGAAACCGGAGCUAAACCGGAUACGUAAAGAUGGAUCCGCGCUGCAUUAGCUAGUUGGUAAGGUAACGGCUUACCAAGGCAACGAUGCAUAGCCGACCUGAGAGGGGUAUCUGCCAACCUGUAACUGAGACACGGCCCCGACGCCUACGGUAUGCAGCAGUAGGGAAUCUUCGUCAAUGGGCGAAAGCCUUACGUACCAACGCCGCGUGAGUGAGUAAUUUCUUCGGAUCUUAAAACUCUUUUAUUAGGGAAGCGGUACCUAAUCAGAAAGCCACGGCUAACUACGUGCCAGCAGCCGCGGUAAUUC